rnacentral:rRNA from 1 species
GGACCCGCACAAGCGGUGGAGCAUGUGGUUUAAUUCGAUGCAACGCGAAGAACCUUACCUGGUCUUGACAUCCUGCGAACUUUCUAGAGAUAGAUUGGUGCCUUCGGGAACGCAGUGACAGGUGCUGCACGGCUGUCGUCAGCUCGUGUUGUGAAAUGUUGGUUAAGUCCCGCAACGAGCGCAACCCCUAUUGAUAGUUACCAUCAUUAAGUUGGGUACUCUAUUGAGACUGCCGCUGACAAGGCGGAGGAAGGUGGGGACGACGUCAAGUCAUCAUGGCCCUUACGACCAGGGCUACACACGUGCUACAAUGGGUAUUACAGAGGGCUGCGAAGGUGCGAGCUGGAGCG